rnacentral:rRNA from 1 species
CCUACGGGAGGCAGCAGUGAGGAAUAUUGGUCAAUGGGCGCGAGCCUGAACCAGCCAAGUCGCGUGAGGGAGGACGGCCCUACGGGUUGUAAACCUCUUUUGCCGGGGAGCAACGGGCGUCACGUGUGGCGUUACUGAGAGUACCCGGAGAAAAAGCAUCGGCUAACGCCGUGCCAGCAGCCGCGGUAAUACGAGGGAUGCGAGCGUUAUCCGGAUUUAUUGGGUUUAAAGGGUGCGUAGGCGGAUGGUUAAGUCAGCGGUAAAAUUGAGGGGCUCAACCCCUUCCAGCCAUUGAAACUGGCGUUCUUGAGUGGAAGAGAAGUAUGCGGAAUGCGUGGUGUAGCGGUGAAAUGCAUAGAUAUCACGCAGAACCCCGAUUGCGAAGGCAGCAUGCCGGCUUCCGACUGACGCUGAUGCACGAAAGCGUGGGGAUCGAACAGGAUUAGAUACCCGAGUAGUC